CCAAAUGCCCUAACAUUUUCAAAAACGCUGCUGGGCUGCUCUGUCUCCCUCUCCAAUCCGGCAACGCCCAUUGACACAAGCCACGCCCACAGACCAAAAAAGCACCGCCCACCACCAACCACUUCCUCACUGAACGCACCGGCGACGCCCACCCACGGCACCAGCUCGAAAUCCGACGACGCCCAUCGACACAGGCCGCGCCACAGUCCAAAAAUCGACCGGCCGAACGCCACCCACGGCACCAGCUCAGAGUCUCACUAACCAUACGUCGUGUACGGGUAAGAAGAAGAUAACUGGAGUGUAAAGGCCAUUCACAGAAAGACCACCGAAACUGGCCGAAUGAGGUACCUUCAUCACAUGCCUCGCAGGUUCAAGACCAAUUUUAGAGGAGGUACGCAAGAUACUCAAAAGGAACAAGGGAACAUCUGCGGCCACUUGAAAUUUGGAAGUGCAUGCUGCCUUUUUUUUCUUUCUUUUUUUUUUUUUUUUUCUUUUUUAAAUUUAUUCCGGAAUUGUCAAAUAAAGUUUUGAAUUAUUGUAUGAGUGUUACUUCAAUUUAUCUUGGAGUUAUCUCUGUUUAAA